UUCCUUUUAUCGUCAACCCAGAGCCCCACCGCGGCUAAUGCAAGAGGCCAAAAAAUGUUUGGAGGAAGAAAAACAAAGGCAGGAAGUGGCGGCGGCCUGACGGUGCGUGUGUGUCUGCAGAGAAGGGAGGGAGCCCGGUUCAGUCUCUUCUUGUUUUUCCAAAUUUCAAGGUCCAGGCAG
ensembl:misc_RNA